GGAAUUAAGAAGUUCCUACGACAAAGUAACAGUUAACAAGGGAGAUGCUUCCAGCUUACAAAAGAGCUCACAGUUUACAGGCAGCCUUUUGGACUACACAACCCACAUAAACAUCUGACAGACUUAAGGCUUUCCAGAAGAAACAUGCACAGGGGGUUUACACCCAACGUAAAGGUAAAGGCAAGGCAAACAGCUCCCAGGAAGGUUUUUACAAAAGUGGAAAUAGAAACAUUGUGACUCUUCAAACAGCAGAGUUAUUACAUACAUUGUGUCCCAGGCUGCAUGAACACAAAAAAGAAGUGUACCUGGUUUGCAAACUGACUGCUCUUCCACACAACUCAAGGGGUUGCUUUGAGAUGUACGUUUAUUCUAAAAAUGUCCAACUUCCUUUUAAAAAACAAAUCCAUCAAAACCAAAAGCCCCGUAAAAGGUAACUUUUUAAUAAAAAAAAGUUUUAGAUUUGUAACACCAAGUGCUUCAAAAUAAAGGACUACUUUAGAUGAGUAAGAUGCAGUGCUAAUUCACUGUUAGUGUUAUAAACUGAUGAAGAGUUACAGCCAUAUAAGCAUCUGAUUUUACAGAUCAGAGUUAAAACGACUGAAAGGUUCAUCUGCUUUAAUGUCUGUAGUACAAAAGGCGUGCAACUUGCAGAGCCUAGAGGCUAUACAGUGCAGCAUGCCAUGAGAAGGGCUGAAUAGGAGUCAUGAAUGGAAGACUGCAUGCAAUGUGUUACGGUUUUGCAGCCUUCCAGAAGUUGAGUAGCUCCUCUGACAAUUGAAUAGGGCAAAUCUCCAAGCUAUUUAUACCUUGAGCAUUUCCUGUCCCCAUGUUGGAUUCUAACAGUGUGAAAGGUUUUAUGCAGGCAUGAAGAAGUUUGCUUUCUGAAGUAACAAUUAUUCUAAGCAGCACACUGAAUAUGUUUCUUAAGUAUGCACGAAGCUGCAUUUCAAAGUGCAAUAGCUAUUGACCUAGUGCUUUAAAGUAAAGAAAAACAUUCUCCAUAGUUCAUGAUUUCAUCCUGCAGGCUAUACAGCUUCUCAUAAGUGGCUGUAGUAGGCAGUAGGUGGAGAGAGGCAAAUCCUUGAAUGGAAACUGUAGCAAAGUUGUUGUGUUCCUACCUAGCUCAUCAAACCCUACAAACCUCAUGUAGUGAUAGAUUUCUGGGUGAUUUGUACCCAACACCACUCUCUUCUAUCUAAAUUCAGCUGCUGAAAUGAAGGCAGCUAACUAAAAGUAGACUUUUGUGUGAAAGAACUGUAUGUUCAGUUUAGUUCUACAACUGAAGCCAAAUCUCCAAACUCAGAAUGUGCUCAGAUGCAACAUGUUCCUUCAUUCUAACUAUGAUUUAUUUUUUACUAGGCUCUGACUGAUAGAUUUUAGGGUUGUGGUAAAAAACAAAGACCCAACAAGUCUGAUAUUUGCCCACCCUGUAUCAUAGGUUAACACUUACUAUAAAAUAAACCAGUUCCAAGACACUUUUUCAGCCUUUCAUCACGUAGGGCAAGAAUAUAUAUUUACAAAAGCUGCCUCUGAAGGGGAAUCAAACCUCGUGUAGUGAUAAUAUAUUUAUACAUCUUUGAAUAAAGCUCUACCUCACUUGUUCCUAGGACCACCAAAAGUUUCUACAGUGAUGCAGGGGAUGUGGGAAACACCAUGUCUAGGAAGUCUGAAAAUGAAUUGUAAGAAUUGAUAAUAAGAUCCAGUGUAAAUUCAUACGCUUCAUGGUUUGAGGCCACUUACUAUCACAGUUUUCACCUUAUUGAGUGAACAAAUCCUGUUAAGAUGGGCCUAGACAACGUGAUCUACAAGCCACAUACAGUGGGACCUUGACUUACGAAUUUAAUCCGUUCCAAAUGCACACUCGUAGGUCGAAAACUUCGUAAGUCGAGUUUCCCAUAGGAAAAGCGGUUUCCCAUAGAGAUGCAUUGGAAAUGGAAAAAUUUGUAAGUCGAGCAAACUGCAUCUAGCUGUGAACGGGUUUUCCGUUCGGAUGUCAAAAAAAUCGUAAGCACACGGCCAAUUUUCCCGCUCAUAAGUCGGAAACGUCGGAUGUUGAGUAGCUCGUAAGUCGAGGUCCCACUGUACAUUGUCAGGCCUUUUGUUGGGUGACAGUACUCACUGGUAUGAAGUACAUGGGUAUGGAGAGGGGUCCCCAAACUAAGGCCCGGGGGCCAGAUGCGACCCAAUCGCCUUCUAAAUCUGGCUUGCGGACGGUCCAGGAAUCAGCAUGUUUUUACAUGAGUAGAAUGUGUCCUUUUAUUUAAAAUGCAUCUCUGGGUUAUUUGUGGGGCAAAAUGUAGUCUGGCCCCCCACAAGGUCUGAGGGACAGUGGACCGGUCCCCCUGCUGAAAAAGUUUGCUGACCCCUGGUAUAGAGUCACCUCUUUUUUGUUGUUGUUGUUGUUGUUGCUCAUGGGAACCAUUUUGUACAGGCUCCCAUGCCACGUUUAUUAAUAUAUGAGGAUUGUCACCUCUCUUCUAACCCCGCAAAGUACUGCACAUUGUGGUCUGUCAAGUGCUUGACAACCCUCCUGUUUUUGCAUUUUCAGGCAAGCUGAAAGAGAAGGAGAUUUCAAUGGGGUUCAUAAAGUAAUAAUUGUGUCUUUUUUGUUUGGCGAAGCCUGUGAUUUUCUAGCAUUUUAAAGACAUUAAAAACAGAUGAACCUUUUGAUUGUAUAUCUAUUAUCAUCUCAACCACACUGCUUUUUUGUGGUUUUCAGCUGACAGUUUAAUUGUAAUUCAACAGUCACUUUAAUUCCACCCCCCUCUUUACAUUUGCUUAUCACUAAUUUUGGUGUUGCAAUUUAUAGACUCAUUAGGAAAAACAAAAAACAAAAACAAAUUGUUCAUAUAAUAUAUAACCACACACAAAAGAUUACGUACACCAUAAGUCUAAUUUUUCAGUAUUUACCUAGUUAUUGCAAAACGAGUCAUCUUUUAAAUAAACAAAUGUCCUUAUUAGUACAAUACUUUAUACCUUUUUAAUGCACUAGAUAUAAUUAGUAAAAGGGAGGAAGUCUUCUCGCUUUGCAAUACCUGCUUGAAAAGUUAAAUGGGUUAGAAGGUUAGUUUUAAUACAGAGGAAAGAAAAAUAAUAUUUUUUGCCUACUUUUAGGACCUGUCUGCUCCCAUCAGGCAUUUUUAAGGCUAUGUUUGUCAUUUGGCUUCAAACAGAAAUUGAGUUGCAGUUAUAAAAUAAUUUAGUGAAUUACAUUCGUUUGUAUCGUCCACAGUAAUCAGUUAUGAAGAUAAUUCUAAGAAGAAUUUGUGUGCUAAUUUAUGCUUAUAGUUAAAAUUCAUUUCAAUUUCACUAGCAUCUUAAAAACAGGGUUUUUAAAAAAUUAAUUCAGACAAAACACCUCAUAAACUCUUAUAAUUGCGGUUAAGUUUUCCCAUGGCAAACGCUCUGUCUUAUAUUUUUCUAACACAACAACAACAAAAAUUAAAACUUCCACAAAGGCCUUGAAAUUCUUAAAUAUAGUCUUCCCAAGAAACGGUGGUUUUUGUUUUUGUUUAUAUAAAUUUGAAGAACACUUUGUUUUAGAAAGAAUUUGUACAACUGUACCAGAAUUUCACAGCUACAAUAUAUAUUGACACACUAAAAUGAGGUUUAGAAAAAUGUAGGGGAAAGCUCAGCCAGAGGAACUGCCACUUAGUGUUGAGGUUGACAGUCUGUGUUUUGAUAAGGAGUUAAACAAAACAUGUCUAUAAAUAACUGUUUAGUCCUUUACAAGCCUGUAGAUGUGAUGCUGUGCACCAUGUUCGCUGUUUGAAACUUCAAAUACACAAGCCAUGCAAAGUAGGGUUUCUUGUGUGUCUCUGUUCGUUACAACC